UACGGAGGUGGCAAGCGUUGUUCGGAUUUACUGGGUGUAAAGGGUGCGUAGGUGGUUAAGCAAGUCAAAUGUGAAAUCCCUCGGCUCAACCGAGGAACGGCGUUUGAAACUACUUGACUUGAGUGCAUGAGAGGAGAGGGGAAUUCUCGGUGUAAGAGUGAAAUCUGUAGAUAUCGAGAGGAACACCUGCGGCGAAGGCGCCUCUCUGGCAUGUUUCUGACACUGUGGCACGAAAGCGUGGGGAGCAAACAGG
rnacentral:rRNA from 1 species